AUGGCUCUUACUGAAGACUGGCAGUUAGACUGUAGCUGUUGGUUUCAAGCAGAAGCCUAAAGAACUGUCUUCCUGUGGUUUAUCAGCUAUUCUGGAACCUCACUAGAGUGACUAUUUCAUUUGGAAGAAACAACU
rnacentral:snoRNA from 1 species